CACACACACACACACACACACUACAGGAAACAGCUGCGCGUGUAAAAACAGUGACGAGUGACAUGGGGGAUGGAGUCAGUCCGACAACUGUGAUACAAAGUCACUUUAGAUGUCUCGCACACCCACGCGCGCACACACACACACACACACACACACACACACACUUUUAUCGCGCAAACUUGCCAUUUCAUGUCCCAAUGAAGGAACAGAUUCAUUAAAGUGAAGAUGUAGCCUUUCAAAUGAAUCAGCGUCAGCGGCCGCACAUGUCGACCAUCAAACCUUGGGAGGGGGGGGGUUCAGGACCCCGUGACCCUGCCGCUGAACUGCAAUGUCACACUAGCGGAAAACACACAAAGCCGCAAAGCUCCGUUUGGCGAAUGAGCAGGACAUGGACGGGAGGGCCGGGGGAGAGGGGGAUGGCGGACGGACAGGGGAAUUCCCGGAGAUGAAGGGAUAUACAAACACACACUCGCUUCCACAGUCACAUUGACUUUCGUCAGCAGAAAUUACGCGUCCUGAUUAAUGAUGCAGCGGAGACGUGAAAAUAUGAUUUAACCCUUUCAGGGACAGCGAUUACGACAGUGGACGGCUUAUCAGGUUACGGGUUAUCAUUAUUUGUGCGUGAAAGGAUUAAAAUCACGUCUAUAAAGUGAAACAUUGAAUCGGUUUUGCCACGGUGUUAUCAAUCAAUAUGAGAAUGGAGUUUUGUGUGAGUGCGUGCGGUUGAGUAGCGUGAGAGGAAUGCGUCCGUGGCACGUAUGCGCAGAUUAGUGACUUGAUUGAAGCAAAAACCUCCAGACUGCUGCUUAGCUUCCCACGGUUCGUUAUCACCAAGGCCUUUUCACUUCUGCGUGGGGAAAAUCUGGUCGCUACAAUGACAUUUAUGUUGUAAAGGUCUUCGUCGUAAGCAAAAUUGGAAAAUGAAUGAUGUGAAAUCAGGAGUUUGGAAUGUGAGCAUGAUACGGGUGAAAACCUAAACGGGGGUAUGUUGAAGCGUCGUCCGACUGUACCGCUACCUCAGAUGUAUUAUUGUGUUAAACGCAAACACAUUUGACAUCCAUCACUCGAUGAAAUCAAUGGAAUCAAGCGUCGAUGAUUCAAUUAAAGAAGAGCAGCCCUGCUCAUCUCGACAUUUGGAAGUGGACUGAUUCCUGUCCGCCGAUACAUUUUUUUCCCCUUCUUCAUGCUACCAUGAAGCCUAUCCGCAAAAAAGAUCAAAACUGUUCCCAGUAGAACCACGCCGUAUACAUCCAAUGUGUUCAAGGUUCCUGUACUGUACAGCGUGUACUCUGCGCGUCUGUGAAGUUGGCUCUGAAUAUUGCGUCAUCCACUUUCCCACCGGCCCCAGCGACUCUCGUCUUCCCAUGUUUGUUUAAAACCGUGCCUCAUGUCGCCGGGACAGGAUACGGUGACACCGCAGCAGUAAACCAUUAUGUGUGUGUGUGUGUGUGUGUGUGUGUGUGUGUGUGUGUGUGUGUGUGUUUGUGUGAGCGUACACGGCCUUUGUACGUACAUCUGUGGAAGGCGCGCACACAAACACACUUGCACAAGGCUCGCUGCAAAGACAACAUCGUAUAUUUUGAUUCCCAACAGGACUGAAGUGUCAGUCAAAGGUGGUUGGUCGCAAUAUCAAGCAGGGGUGUUAUCAGGGUGUGGUGAAAGGCCUGCAAGUAAACAAAAUGCAUGCACGGGUUUGUUUUUCCUCAACCCCCCCCCUGCCCCUCCUCGACUUCUCCCUUGCCUUCUUUUUGAAAGUUCCCUUCUCUCUUCCCUCCCUCUCUGCGGUGUCUGCCUGUGGCUUGGGUCCAGCCGAGCCUGGGAAAAGCCGACCAAAAAAAAAAAAAAAAAAAGUCUCUGCGGGAGAGCAGCAAGAGAGAGGCAAUGUGGGGGUGGGUGUAAUUCUUGGCGCACAUUCAUUAUGACUUUAGAAAUCUGUUGCAAACUGCAUUGUCAAUUCAUUGCGUCAGGAAGCGGAGAAAAACGACAAGAGUUGAAAGCGGGCGAAAAACAUGCCCUGGCAUGACCUUGGCGGUCUCCUGUUCUUAUCUUGGAUUAGAUACCGUUUAAAAAUGCGGAGGGUCCUCGCAGCAACAAUGAUACGUUGUCUGUUGAGCGAGAAAUGACCGCAAACGUGUAUUUGGCCAACAUGUAUCGGACAUCGUGAGACAUCAUUUUGUCUUUUUCUGGAAGGAUAUUUUGUUGCGGGUGAAGAGAAAGAAGGAAAAUUGGGAGUGGUAGAACAAACUGGAAUUCAUUCGAGGGGCAUCGCCAAUUACUAGCCUGGCAUGAAUAUUAAGCAGGGUACACAUAUACCAAAUAAUUGGCUGAAUGUGAGCCAGAUUCCCCGCAAUCUGAUCAAAGUCAGCAAAAGCCCAUUUAUCGGAUGUCUCUGAAUGAUGAUAAUAAUUAUCUUGCAUGACUGAAAUUCUUUUCAGUCGACCUGACAAAGUUUUUCCACUUGAUAAAAUGUCUCAAGUGGGGCACACGCAAACCAGUAAUCGAGCCAAAAUCAAACAUUCGACCUGCUCUGAAAAACAAUCACUGCUGGCAAUCGCCAUUAUUACUACCAGUUUGAUGUUACAUCACAAAAGAAACACGACACCCUUGCGAUACAACUGCUCUAUUUUUUUUUAUUUUUAAUUUUUGGGGGGUGAGGAGUUGAGACCUUUUCAGCGUUUCCACCGGAAUGCUAAUAUUUUGUGAUUUCUGUCUCUAAAACACCACUUUCAUACAAAGUACAAACAAGCAACCGAAAAGGCUAAUCUGUCCUGAUUUUAAAAAUGACCCCAAAGGCCCAGCAGAAGAUUGUGGGCAAAAAAUAACCCGUCAGCUUCAGCAGUUGUGGACAGACAGCUCUCGAGAGGAUGUGGUACCGGACCAAUCUCUCCCAGCUUCCCCUCAGCAUGACGCUGAGUCCCUAAACUCUUCCUCGGGCACUAAGUGUGUGCCACGCUGUGUGUUUGCUGUGUUCAUUACUGUGCUAGCUAGCUUAGCGCCUAAAAUGCCCCAGUUAGCUCUCAAGCAGCCAGGAAAGCAGGAAAGAUGGGUAACUGUUGGAUGUGGAAGCACAGUUUUUUUUUAAGACCCUUCAUUAAGUGAUUUCAGUAAUUUGUUUCUACAUCAAGGGUAUUUCAUACAUCUGUCACUUUAUGUUAGCUUAUCUCAAUGACUGUUGAAGAUAUGAAAACGUAACCUAUAUUUCAUGAAAGCUAAGUUUUUGUAGCAAAAGCUUAAGAAUCUGAGAAAUAGUUUUCUUAAACAGGUAUUUGGAUUUCAGCUUGUUAAAAAAAAAAAAAAAAAGAUGGCUGCAGGCCUGCGCAGCUGCAGCAUACAGGCCAUAUCAGCGGGGCGCUCCAGAUAAGCCGAGGCGGCGUGACAUAAAGCUGCUCGCAGGCGUCUCGCGCACGUACGGUUUGCGAGGGCGACGCGGAAGUGACCGACCGUCUCACUCGAGAUUGUCUUGUCACUGAUAGAUGCGUAAGAAGGUAGAAGGUCGAGCUUUUCAGCCAAGGGCUUCGCUUCCGUGUCACAGAAAGACCAACUGGCGGGGAAAUAAAAAGUGCAGCGGCAGCUAAAACGGGCGGCUGGUGGAGCGGAGAGAACAAUACAGUCUGUGAUCCUUCCGUGAAACUCAACCUUUUGCUUGCCGUCAAGCAUCUGGCUGGUCCAUCACAGAGGAUUUGUUGGCACUGACAGUACGUUAACUUGCUGAGCAAAGUGCUUCUGCAGCUCUUCUGUUUUUUUUUUCCACGCAAACAUAAAAUGGCAGUUUGAGGAGGCUCCUUUUCUUCCUCAGACAUGAGAGUGUGGGAGACUGUGGGAGAAAUGAUUAUCCGACUGGAAAAACAGACAAGUCGUCGCUCUUAAGUAGACAGACCCCUGUUUCUUUAUCCUCUCCUUUGAACAGAUGUGUGCUUCCAACUUCGGGGGAAGAGUUUGGGGAAGACCCGUUUCUGUUCCAGCACGACUGAACGUAAGGUCUACAAAGGCAUUCUUGGAUACGUUUUGACGGAUGGCGUGAAAUUGAUUGCGGAUUAAUUGCUUCUUGAAGAUGGGGGUCUGGAAACCACAAGUUGAGGUUCAUUCAGUCUCAAGUUGUUUGCUAUCGAGACGAAAAAGCUUUCAGUGGGUGCUUAAACUUUGAUGUGGUCCUUUAUAUUUAUUUAUUUUUUUUUAACCACAAACUCAAUUUUAUCAUAAAUCUUUUUUUUUUUUUAAUUUCAAACAUUCUAUUUUGUAGAGAACGGGGUUGUAAUGAUAGCGGAUUUUUAUUUAUGGUUGGAGUUUAUUUCCUUUUAACUUUUUUUUUUUUAAAUUAAGUUAGUUUUAUUAGUUUUGACAGCGGGUUUGUUUGUGCGAUCUUAAUUGAC